rnacentral:rRNA from 1 species
AUUGAACGCUGGCGGCAUGCCUUACACAUGCAAGUCGAACGGCAGCGGGGGAGAAGCUUGCUUUUCCUGCCGGCGAGUGGCGAACGGGUGAGUAAUACAUCGGAACGUGCCCUGUAGUGGGGGAUAACUAGUCGAAAGAUUAGCUAAUACCGCAUACGACCUGAGGGUGAAAGUGGGGGACCGCAAGGCCUCAUGCUAUGGGAGCGGCCGAUGUCUGAUUAGCUAGUUGGUGGGGUAAAGGCCUACCAAGGCGACGAUCAGUAGCUGGUCUGAGAAGACGAUCAGCCACACUGGGACUGAGACACGGCCCAGACUCCUACGGGAGGCAGCAGUGGGGAAUUUUGGACAAUGGGCGAAAGCCUGAUCCAGCAAUGCCGCGUGUGUGAAGAAGGCCUUCGGGUUGUAAAGCACUUUUGUCCGGAAAGAAAUGGCUCUGGUUAAUACCUGGGGUCGAUGACGGUACCGGAAGAAUAAGGACCGGCUAACUACGUGCCAGCAGCCGCGGUAA